AGUUAAUGAACUUGUAUAAAAGUAUAUAUUUUGAAAAUAUAAUAAAGAGAAUCUCUAUUAACUU
rnacentral:tRNA from 1 species